rnacentral:lncRNA from 1 species
GGAGAUCUGGAGAAUUUGCUUUGUUUUUUCUUUAUUGUAAACUAUUCAAAGAGCUUUGCUAUGGUGGUGCACAAAUAUAUCCAAUAAAUAAAAUAUGAGAACAGAAACCCACACAUAUUUAGAGAUAAAAGCAAAAUAAACAAACAAAAUACCUGAAGUAACGAAGGAGCCCCUUUCCUUUUUAAAGCAAUUAUCAGUUAAAUAGCCUGUCGGAAGUGCCUACUGAAUGGUUAAUAAUGCUGGAAGUAAAACAGAGAGGAAAAGAAAGCUUCCAAAGUAAACAGAAACUUCCUAUAGAGGUGGAAACAUUUGCACUUCCAUUUGUCUGUCGCUGUGGACCACUGAAGAAACAUGCUGGCUAAUAUUAAAAGGGAAGAGGUCCCAGCACUGUGAAAGGUUUUUAAAGCCUUCCUACAUGAGUCAGAAUUGCAUUAGUCUCAGCAUGUAUUAUCAGUAAACCUAGGAAGGGCAUCGACAGGUGAGGAAAGUAGUUACAGCUAGGUCACAGUAGGAGCCUAUUAAGCUUCCUUCUCUGUAAUUACCACAGUUUUCUCUGCAGUAAUGGUAUUGCCAAGAUGCCUUGAAUUUGUUUGGAAUUCCCCACCCCCUUAUUUAGAAAAAGAAAUGGUUGGGGUUUUUUGGGGGGGCAGAAUAUGUGUGUUACAUUUCCUUCCCUCCUAAUUUAAAAACUUCCUGAUAUGUACAUUACUACAAUGGCAAACAAACUCCAGAUAGCAUUUUAAAAAAACAAAAACAAAAACUCCAGAUAGCAAAGUUGCUAUUUGCAUAGCAGAUCAAAGAAUUUACGUGCUAUUGUUGAUACAGAGAUUUGAAAAUAUUGAGAUGGCCAAGGAAACUGUAAUCAAUUAAUAAUUUUGCAAGACUGUUUAUUAAAAUGGGUAAGUGCUUUACUAAACAAAACUUUAAUUGAAACUGUCAAAAGUGAUCCACGGCUGCGUUGCAAUUUUCUCAUUCACACAUCAUUUCCUCUGCAGUUAAGUUAAAUCAUAAAUACUGCUCUUUAUUCUAGUCAGAUGUCUUGCCAUUUAAUACUUUAAUUUUAUGGAUCCUAAAGUUUGGGUGCAAGAUGUUCACUAAUGUCAAGUUACAACAUCUAUAUUAGGGCAGUAUCUUUAUUAUGCCAACUAAAAUGCCCAUAGUGCGCAAGGUUUUGAGGUCUCCAGAACCCUUCUUCAGGCAAGCUGAGGGGUGGCUGUGGACCUCCCAGAUGUGCUUAGAUCAUUCUUGACCAUCCGCCACACUGGUUGCAACUCAUAGAGCUAAAGAUGCAGAGUGCCUUUAGCCACCCCUGGGCUCAACAGUGCUAAAGAAGGGUGGUGGAGUGGAAGCUGAUGGUUGGUGAAGCUGUGCAGUCUGCAAGAUAAGUGCGAGGGUAGGUAAUAGAAAUUCACAUAAGGCUCUUAUAGGUAAGUUGCAGGUUGCAGGUUACAUCAAGGCCUGCUGGAAAGAAAGGGCAGCCCAGCUGCUACCUAGGCUUGUUUCCAUCCUUUGGCAAAACACACAGAGGCUUCCUUGGUAGGUGGAAAACCAAAAUAAAAAAAGGAGGCAGUUCCUAUAUUAGCAGAGCUUGACAUACAUUUUUGAUGGUGUGCUAGGUAACAAAAAGGGAACAGAAGCCCAAUUGCAUAGCUUUAGCAAACAAGUUGCAGGCAACAUUCUGUCAGGGAAUAAUAUAAAAACUUUAUUUAGUCUUCAUUCAUCUUCAUCCUACUUUCCCACCUUAUCUCCUAGGGCUAUUUCACAGGCCCUUCCUCUACUCAUCAGUGCCAUCUUCUGUGUCUGAUAGGUGGUCCCAAAAGCUGCUGCUGGGCAGCCAAGGGUCAGCAUAGGAUCAUUAUUCAGGCUUGGCCAUACUCUUCCAUCACCGAAUGGAUUUUCUGUCUGUCUGUGCCUGUCUACCUACCUAUUACAUUUGUGUUCCACCCUCCUUCAAAGAGUUCAGACUACCUUCUGUAGAAGCUAAUUUGUUUUCUCCUCAGAAUUGCCUUGUGGCUAGGCUGAGCAAGAAUGGCUGGACUCAGAUCAACUGGUGAGUUGCAUCACUGAGCAAGGAUUCUUACCCAGGCCUCAUCAGCUGAAAUCCAACACACCAAUUUAAUUCAUUACAUCAUAUUAGGAUUCCCUUACUUUUUUAUAUUAUCUCUUGGGUUUGUUAUUGGCUGCAUGCAGACAGUUCUUAAACCAUGAUUACUGUCUUCUUCCCUGAAUUAAGUAUGUGGCUUUUAAUGCAUUAUUUCCUAUUUUAAUCAAACCAUCCUUUGCCAUUGAGUCCCAAACACCAAACCAUGGUUCAGCUGCAACAGUAGACAAGGGUUGUUUAAAACAAGUGUAAUGAAUCAAACUCUGUGUGAGAGAGAAACAGAUCAGGGCAGGGAUAGGAGGGAGAGCAUGGAUGCAUUGUGUGGUCAUGAUCCUCCAAACCAUGGUUUGGAAGAUUGUCUGAAUGCUGCCAGUUUCUAUUUAGGUGUAGACUAGGACCACAAGAAUUGUGUUUGGGUGAGCCCUGGCAAGAAACAGUUCAGAAUAUCCAGGGAGAAUUUUUUGUGAGCAUAUGGAUGGAACAGUUUCUUUUACAGAAGAGUUCAUGGGCACGUUCAACUUGGAUCACACACAAAAUGUGCUGUGUGGCUUGCAAUGCAUAUUGAAGGUGCACUCUGGUGCACUGCUUUGUGCCCAGUCUCUUCAUCCCAAGCAUUGGCAUUAGUUUUUUGUUGUAAGCCCAC